GGCCUUGGUCCAAGUACAGUGGUGUUUAUAACUAAUUUAUCACAACCAGUUACAGAUUUCUUUGUUCCUUCUUCACUCCCACUGCUUGACUAGCCUAAA
ensembl:misc_RNA Y_RNA Y RNA